rnacentral:rRNA from 1 species
GACGAACCGUGCGAACGUUGUUCGGAAUCACUGGGCUUAAAGGGCGCGUAGGCGGGCCGCCAAGUCCGGGGUGAAAGCCCCCGGCUCAACCGGGGAAUAGCCUUGGAUACUGGCGGUCUGGAGGGGGGUAGGGGUGCGUGGAACUUCCGGUGGAGCGGUGAAAUGCGUAGAUAUCGGAAGGAACGCCGGUGGCGAAAGCGACGCACUGGGCCCCACCUGACGCUGAGGCGCGAAAGCCAGGGGAGCAAACGGG